rfam:Candidate division WOR-1 bacterium RIFOXYB2_FTLL_36_35 rifoxyb2_full_scaffold_233, whole genome shotgun sequence.
GCCGGGAUAGCUCAGUUGGUUAGAGCGAGGGACUCAUAAGCCCUAGGUCGCCAGUUCGAUUCUGGCUCCCGGCA